CGACCUCCAUGUGGAUAAUCCCACUAAACUGGUCUCGGCAGACCUGUACAAUAACUAUGCAGUACGUCUUCUAUGAAUUAUGAAACCCUUCUAUUGUAGUCCGCAUUGCUGGUCCAUCUCAAUAAAAGACAGUAACGAAAAGAAUCAUUGGGAAGGCUGUUGACUGACAUGUCCAGAAGACAGUCAUCGACACCCUCCAUUAGAAGGACACCAGAAUGAGAAGUCUGCACAGCCAAACAUUUCUCCAUACUUACCCGGGCCUGGAAGAUGUCAAAGGAAAUUCCACUCUUUACAAGGCCCAGUAUGAACUCUGUUCAACGAUCCAACUGCCUUCGGCGCUGCGACUCUGGCUGGUCACCGCUGCCUUGCUCUACGCUGUCAGACCCUUCCAUCGACUCUGAAGGGUAGAAGAAUGAACGGGAUACUCUGCAACUUUGAGCAAGAUCCAG